rnacentral:lncRNA from 1 species
CUAAUUCUAAUCAAAUUCUAGACCAAAUCUUAAACCAAAUCUUAAUCAAAUCCUAGAUCUUAAUCAAAUUCUUAACAAAUCUUGUAGCAAAAUGAAACCUCAAUAACAAAUGAUUGAAUUAUUGAUAUCAACUCAAAAUUUGAAUACUUCUUAAUCACUUAGUUAGAAACAAGUACAAAAAAGAUGUAAUUAAUUACACUUAUUAAUUGAGAGAAAUAUAAGAUAAUCCAAUCAAGUAUUGGAUAGCCUUUUAUUCCAAUCUAAAUACUAA